ACCGGCGCCUGAUUUACUAAAAUCCAAAGGAGCAAAACGAAUUCCUACCAAAAGUGUUGCCCACGGGCGAGAUAGGGCCGAUUUUUUUUUUUUAAAUCGACCGUCCUUUGGCGAUGAGACUCGCGUGUCACGGUAGUUCGCGAUCUGGAACGUGGUGAUUUGAAAAGGCAGAACGGCGAAGAAACCCGACUUUAUGCCAGUUAAGAGAUAAUCACGAAAAUUCCUGCAAAGAGAGCAAGAGGAAAGUUGACCCACGUUUUAUAAGAGUGCACGUAUAAGCCCUCUUGUCAGAGAGAAAGAAGGAGUGGGAGUGGAAGAGUUACAAUGAAGCAGGGAGAGGGAGUGGAAACCCGUCAUGCACCACCUACGCGAGGACGGAGAAACCAGGAAGAGAAAGAGAUGCACGAACUGUGUACACCAGGAACGAAGAAAGCUGACGAGAGAAAGAAGAAGAGAAGGAAAGAGUGAAAGAGGAAAAAAUGCGCGGAUUAUGGACAGGGAGGCAGUGACGCUCUGUACCUUCGGCGAUUCUCUCCUGUUGUGUUUUACCUAGGCGAAAGAAGCAAAGAAAAAACAAGGGAAUAAAGGGAUGGCGACACGCUGCAUGUGCGAGCAAGGAAAGAAAACGCAGGCGAGUAACAAAGAGGCGAGAGAUUCCAGUUUGAUUCGUUAGAUGAGAACGCGUGACGAGAAAUCAGCACGAGUCUGAGAAGAAACAAAAAUUCACGCCGCAAAACCACCGCGCAUUUCUAUUCUUAGAUGAUCGAAAGAGAAAGGAGUCGAGAGAGGAGCGGAACAGGAGCGAGAGAAGGGAAAAGGGAAGCAAACGGAGACGGGAAAGGCCGGUGUUAACAAGGCAGAAGGGAUACCACGACACCGUACGGGCCGCGACAGUGGAGGCGACGAGGACGAUUACGUGUUCUGGAAGGACACAAGAGGGGACAACGAGACACAAGGUAGAACGAAGCAGAGAAGCAAGGAGGAUAAUUCAGUGACUUCGAAGCCGGUUUUCCAUGGCAGCCUAUCACGAAACUCGCGAGCAACGAUGAACAAGAGGGAUGAGUCACGGCUGCUCACUCUUCCCACUCUUUCCACCGUGUGGCGAGGUUGCAAAAAAAGAAAAAGAGUCUGCGAGCAGCAACACGAAAGACAGAGAACAGCCAGAAGAUGAAGAAGGUGGUAAAGAAACGAGAAGAUUAGCCCUGACGAUCUCGAGGCUACGGUUCGCCUACGCGUGGCCAGCUCGACGACCUGAGAUAUUUUACGAUGGAUUUAUAACGGACGAUGACGAAACCAAGAGCAUUUUGUUGAACAGACAUUUUGCACGCGUUUCGUUUUUAGAAUCGCUGCUGGAAAUCUCAGACGUUGUUUAAACAGAAUCGUACUCGAUUACUUAUCGAGUGUAACGUCAUGUUAUCAGUGCUGCAACGUAAAUCGCGAUCGACGAUAAAACGGAGGAUAAAUAAAGGGAUUUUGCCGCAUCAUAGAAGUCGCCGCUUUAAGUUAACGAAGAAGCGUUUAGAUAGUACAAUUAACAGAAGGUUUUCGAUAGCUGUCGAUCGGGGGAACCGAGCUAUAAAUAUCCGAGCAGAAAAAUCGGGACGCAAGAAAAGCGUACAAAGAUCCGAUAAGGUAAGAUUCUUCACUCACCUCUGCAAGAGGCUCCUCCUUGGUGACGUCUCCAUUCUUGGGCGCUUCUUCACGGGCAGGCUUGUUCUUGUCCUUCUUGCUGAAGC